GUACAGAUGAGACCUGUAGACCAGUUAUGAUGAAUGAAGACCAGGAGUCCGAGAUGUAAUCAGUCGAGGAACAAUUUACUUAAACUACUUUCGUUAGUAGUUUCAUCAGCAGAAGUCGGCUUCAGUACUCAGCAAGGAGUUUGUAGGCUGCUCUCCCCAAACAUCAAACACAGCAGCAGUUAUACUCUAACAGAAAUCAAUAUGGGAGCUUUACCUGCAAACCCAUGUGAGAUUAAUCUGCUCCAUGAAAAUGACCAGCUCUGCAGAUGAUUUAUUUAGUUCCCAGAUAUGUGUAUAUUCUAUAAUCUAUCACAAUUGCUUCCUCUCCUCUUCGUGAGGAUUGUGCUUUGUGAAGCAGCAUGCAAUAAUGCAGAAUAUGAAAUUAAUGGAGAGUGUUGCCCAAUGUGUUAU